GCGUGAAAAAAAAGUGAACAUAUAUAUGGAAUGACAUACACAGACAAAUAU
rnacentral:sRNA from 1 species